AAAGUCGUAACAAGGUUUCCGUAGGUGAACCUGCGGAAGGAUCAUUAUAAAAUCUGGUGGAGUCACCACCGUAUAAAAACAGCGAGUGUAUUCUGUACAGACCACUUCGGUGGCCUGUCGCGACGGGAUUCUUAGGAUGAACGUCGUGGUUUACUACUUGCGCCAAUCUACCUCACACAUUAACGUCUGAAUCUUUUGUUGUUCAUCUGAACUCCAAUAUGAAUUUUUAAACAACUUUUAACAACGGAUCUCUAGGCUCUCU
rnacentral:misc_RNA from 1 species